rnacentral:lncRNA from 1 species
CUGUUGUAGAAAUCCAGGCAUGAGAUUGGAAGGCUCUGAGGAAGGAGUGGCAUGGAGAGAAAGAGGCCCACUUCCAAAUGCCCAGGGAAGGGACAAUGGUCCAACAUGGAUCAGGCACCGAAUCCUGAACUAACCACCUAAGGAAUGAACCCCCACCCCCAAUUCUAAGGGUAAAAACAAUGAGGAAUAUAAAGAUCACAGAGGGCUUAACAAAGGAUGUUACUCCCCAAAUGCCACAGCAUGGCCUGAAGACUUGCCUCACAGAAUUCAGCACCCAUUGAGGGCAUACAUGUAGAAGAGAAACAGAAUUCCCCAUGUGAUGGGCUGAAAAAUGCCCCCCCCACCAAGAUAUCCACAUCUUAAUCUCUGGAACUUGUAAAUGUUAUCUUAUUUGGGAAAAAUAACUCUUUGCAGACGUUAUUAAGGAUCUUGAGAUGAGGAAAUUAUCCUGGUUUAUCCAGGUGGGCCCUAAAUGCC